UGCCUUAGUAACGGCGAGUGAAGCGGCAACAGCUCAAAUUUGAAAGCUGGCCCUUUCAGGGUCCGCAUUGUAAUUUGUAGAGGAUGAUUCGGCGAGGGCUCCCGCCUAAGUCCCCUGGAACGGGGCGUCAUAGAGGGUGAGAAUCCCGUAUGCGGUGGGCUGCCUUAGCCAUGUGAAUCUCCUUCGACGAGUCGAGUUGUUUGGGAAUGCAGCUCUAAAUGGGAGGUAAAUUUCUUCUAAAGCUAAAUACCGGCCAGAGACCGAUAGCGCACAAGUAGAGUGAUCGAAAGAUGAAAAGCACUUUGGAAAGAGAGUUAAAAAGUACGUGAAAUUGUUGAAAGGGAAGCGCUUGCAACCAGACUUGUCCGCAGUUGCUCAGCCGGUCUCCUGACCGGCGUACUCUUCUGCGGCCAGGCCAGCAUCAGUUCGGGCGGUCGGAUAAAGACCUCGGGAAUGUAGCUCCUCUCGGGGAGUGUUAUAGCCCGGGGUGGAAUGCGGCCAGCCUGGACUGAGGAUCUCGCUUCGGCAAGGAUGCUGGCGUAAUGGUUGUAAGCGGCCCGUCUUGAAACACGGACCAAGGAGUCUAACAUCUAUGCGAGUGUUUGGGUGUCAAACCCAUACGCGUAAUGAAAGUGAACGGAGGUGGGAACCCGCAAGGGUGCACCAUCGGCCGAUCCUGAUGUCUUCGGAUGGAUUUGAGCAAGAGCAUAGCUGUUGGGACCCGAAAGAUGGUGAACUAUGCCUGAAUAGGGUGAAGCCAGAGGAAACU
rnacentral:rRNA from 1 species